GGAGCUUGCGGCUUAAUUUGACUCAACACGGGAAAACUCACCCGGACCGGACACUAUGAGGAUAGACAGAUUGAUAGCUCUUUCUUGAUUUGGUGAUUAGUGGUGCAUGGCCGUUCUUAGUUCGUGGUAUGAAUUGUCUGGUUAAUUCCGAUAACGAACGAGAUUCUAACCUGCUAAAUAGUCCAUGUGUAAUCCUGUGUAGUUUGGGCGUAUCGGAUUUCGGUCUGUUAUGCACUGCUAUACGAGCAUAUGGUACUUCUUAGAGGGAUUGGUGGAUAUCCAAGCCACACGAGAGAGAGCAAUAACAGGUCUGUGAUGCCCUUAGAUGUUCGGGGCCGCACGCGUGCUACACUGACAGUGGUAGAGAGUUUGGUAUCCUCUGGCGAAAGCUCGGGGCAAACUUUUCAAUUACUGUCGUGCCUGGGAUCGGGGUUUGUAACUAUCCCCCGUGAACCAGGAAUUCCUAGUAAGCACAAGUCAUCAGCU
rnacentral:rRNA from 1 species